rnacentral:misc_RNA from 1 species
ACCAUCUUUACGGCCAGUCAUUUUGACUCGCAGAUAAGGAUCGACAGAGAUCCAGAGGAUCUCAACGGCGAGAUGGCCAUCUGGGAUAUGAUCAUCGCCUAAUGAUAAAGUUAAAGUGCGCAGUUUUAGAUGAUCAGAGGUUGGAACACCUUGAGGUGCAUAGGCUGCCAUGAACCAUUCCUUGCUCUCCACAGUGCUAGUUUCUCUACCCAUUCUCUGAUCUCUCUCGCUCGUAAAUGCCUUUCGCCUUGUGAAAGAAAGG